rnacentral:rRNA from 1 species
UACGUAGGGUGCAAGCGUUGUCCGGAAUUAUUGGGCGUAAAGAGCUCGUAGGCGGUUUGUCGCGUCUGCUGUGAAAACCCGAGGCUCAACCUCGGGCCUGCAGUGGGUACGGGCAGGCUAGAGUUCGGUAGGGGAGACUGGAAUUCCUGGUGUAGCGGUGAAAUGCGCAGAUAUCAGGAGGAACACCGGUGGCGAAGGCGGGUCUCUGGGCCGAUACUGACGCUGAGGAGCGAAAGCGUGGGGAGCGAACAGG